GAUGAAGAACGUAGCGAAAUGGGAUAAGUAAUGUGAAUUGCAGAAUUCAGUGAAUCAUCGAAUCUUUGAACGCACAUUGCGCCCGCCAGUAUUCUGGCGGGCAUGCCUGUUCGAGCGUCAUUUCAACCCUCAGGCCCCCAGUGCCUGGCGUUGGGGAUCGGCGCGGCGCCCUCCGGGGCGCUGCCGGCCCCGAAAUUCAGUGGCGGUCUCGCUGUAGCCCUCCUCCGCGUAGUAGCACAACCUCGCGGCCUGGAGCUCGGCGGUGGCCAUGCCGUAAAACACCCCACUUCUGAAAGUUGACCUCGGAUCAGGCAGGAAUACCCGCUGAACUUAAGCAUAUCAAUAAGCGGAGGA
rnacentral:misc_RNA from 1 species